rnacentral:lncRNA from 1 species
UCUUCAUAUUUAAAGAAGGUGGGAUACAACCCUGAAAAGAUUGCAUUUAUCCCCAUCUCUGGAUUCGAAGGCGACAACAUGAUUGACAGGUCUACCAACCUUGAUUGGUACAAGGGCCCUACCCUUCUUGAAGCCCUUGACCUGAUCACUGAGCCCAAGAGACCCUCCGAUAAGCCCCUUCGUCUCCCUCUCCAGGAUGUUUACAAGAUUGGAGGUAUUGGAACUGUCCCAGUUGGACGUG